UGGGGAAUAUUGCGCAAUGGAGGAAACUCUGACGCAGUGACGCCGCGUGCAGGAAGAAGGUUUUCGGAUUGUAAACUGCUUUAGACAGGGAAGAAACAAGACAGUACCUGUAGAAUAAGCUCCGGCUAACUACGUGCCAGCAGCCGCGGUAAUACGUAGGGAGCAAGCGUUAUCCGGAUUUAUUGGGUGUAAAGGGUGCGUAGGCUGUAAGUCAAGUCAGCGGUGAAAAGUCGGGGCUAAACCUUGGGGGUGCCGUUGAAACUGAUUUACUAGAAUGUGGAUGAUGCCGGCGGAAUGUGUCAAGUAGCGGUGAAAUGCAUAGAUAUGACACAGAAGGCCGAUUGCGAAGGCAGCUGGCAAAGGCACGAUUGACGCUGAGGCACGAAAGUGCGGGGAUCGAACAGGAUUAGAUACCCUGGUAGU
rnacentral:rRNA from 1 species